UGCACAUAGGGGUUCUUAUGACUUAUAGAAUGCUCUCAAAAGAAGUGCCAAAGGCUUUAACGACAUCCAAGGUACACAUUAUACUCUUAAUUGCUGUUCUGUGCUGCUGUGGACAGAUGCCUCUCUAUAGUUUCUGACAGAGGAAAAUUUAUCUUGGGAGGAGAUAGCCAGGUUAAACGCUUGGGUGUCCUUCCUUUGGUAGAAGUUCUGUCUCUUCCCUGAACAUACAUUCCUUAGAACAAAUAUAUUGUGUAUACUACUACAUUUUAAACAUUUAAAGAAUAAUUGUGACAGCUGACAAUGGAAAGAUCUGCUUUUGGUCUAGCAUCAAAAUUCAAAAUCAAAGCAAAACUUAAAGUAAUUCACAAGGUCAGUGCAAGAAUUGAUUUAUUGUUUGAAGAAUGCAUUGAAAUGUCUGAUUCUGUGCUAUUAGGAGGAUCAGGUCUCAUAACAGCUGUUUUAUUAGGUGGAUUUGUGUUCAAAUAUAAGACAUCUCAAGUGAAAUUUCAGGAUAUGUUAUUUAAGCGUGUGCUUAAAAUGAGUGUUUACCAAGUAGGCGUGCUUUUCUAAAUAACCUUGCAUGAUGUUUACUCCUUCAUUUUUCCUACAUUAAUUUUUAAUAUCUUCAUGCUUAUUUCCUGUUUUUAAGCUGAGACUCAGAUUUUUGGGCAGCUUCCUCACUGAUGGCUCAGGUUUGCAAGAAAAUGAAGGCUGCCACCUUCCUUUGCGCUGCUGUGAUUCAGAGACAUCCACCUGUAUGUGGAUCUGCCGAGUAACUGAUUUUCAGCCUUCUCCAAAAGAACAGUGAAGGAAACACGGAUGUAUUUCCAGUGAGAGAUAGCCUGGAGAAUGAAGACAUGGUUCGAAGCCCCACGGAAGUUAAAAUUUUAAAUUUCAAAUUAUGUUAUUUCAGCAAAAUCAAGAGGCUUGAAGGCAUAUGCCUGUUUGGAAUACACAAUAUGAACUGUGCAGAAGACAGUUGUUGGGAAAGGAACUAAUGGUUUAUCACCCUAGAGGAAGCUGUUGUUUCCAUCCUGGCACUUGCCUUCGAGAGGCCACAAGGAUAGAGCCUCUUUUCCACGGUGCAAUUGCCUGUCCCCUCUUCAGCACUGACCCGUCUUCCAGCUCUUCCUCAGCAGUCAGAGAACAGGCAUUCGCAUUCAGGUGCUGCUGUGCUGGAUCCUUCUAACUCGGGGCUGAAUGGUCCCUUAAAGAGCAUAUGGCCAUUAUUGGGAGCUGGGAAUUUCAUGAAGCCUACAUACUGCCUACAGCAAGUUCUCUCUUUAAAGAUGACUCUCUGUAGUCGGGUACUUUCCACACUGGCUGCUUCACAGGAUGAGACCGCAGGAAGAUGGGGGAUGUUAAUGUACGUGGGAUGGCCCAGCCCUGCCGACUGUUCUUUUUUGCCGUCUCUCUGGAUGUUUUCUAUCUGUAAUGCUUUCCUGAAAUCCUGUUAGAAAAAUACAUCUUGUCCAAUGGACCAAUGGCAGUCCCCUGAUUAUGGGGAAAUCUGGAAAGGUUUGUGAUUUAGAAGGAAGAAAUGACAUCGUUAAAACUGGAGUUGUAGUUACUGUUGUACAAGUGUUUUUUACAACUUUCAUAUAGCUGAUUUGCUUUUCAUUUGGUAUUCUAGUAGAUAGAUUAACAAAGAGCAUUUCAAUUUGUACUUAUGCUGUCACUGUUUUUCUUGCAACUUGUCUGAUACUGUUACUAUUCUGAUAUUUUAUUUUUUUAUACAUGAGAUCUGGUUUUCACUUCAGCUAGCCAUUAAGUCAUUGAUACGUCUAAAUGUGUACACAGUAUCUCGUGAGAAAGUAUCAAGUCAUUUUGUUACAUUUGGAAUUAAAAGGCCAUAAACAGGUAAUACUGUUGUAUACUCUAUUAGUAGGGUCAUUAAAUGUAUGUCUGCAAUGAGAAUAUUUUAGGCUGAAUAUUUUAGGCUUCUGAGCCACAUGCAUAAGAGAUUGUGGCUGUUGGCCUGUACUGAACCCUCUGGCAACUUUGUGCUUCCUUUUGUACAGAAGGCUCUGGGUAGGACAUGCUUUGUGUGUGUGGUUUCAACUGUCUUUCUGAAGGAGAGUGGGGAUUUUCAAUAGUGUUGCUGUGUAAGUAUCUCUUAAUUCCUUCCUAAUAAUUUCUGUGCCUGUUCAACAGGUCCAUUCAACUUGAAAGGAACAGCUGGUUUUUUUUUUGUUUGCCUCUCCCACAUCUAGUGGGUAGUCUUUUUCAUGGAGUGCAUAACAUUUGCAGUUGUUGGAUUUUCACUGUCUGUUGGAAUACAACUGGUUAAAAGGGUACCUUUUUCAUUAUGUAGUGUGUCAGUUUUGCUCUUUUUGAUUGCACAGGCUGAGAGUUGUGAAUCUGGAUAACAGAAUAUGCAGUAGACAGCUUUGAUUUUGAAAAUUGCUGUCAUGCUUCAUAUUUUGAUACCAUAUGAGUUUAUUUGCUGUGGUAUCUGGAUGCUUUAAGUCAUGUGGAGUGAUUUGAACAUCAGCAUGUAAAAGUUCCCUCAUAUUCUUUCCUGUAAUAAAAGGAAAAUUUCUAUUGAUCAUGCACACAAAAAAUUUCCUGGGAAUGUAUCUUAUUUUAAGUGGAUUUGCCUUGCGUUGUGUACCAUAUACUUUUGUGGGGCUAUUUUGUGGAAUAGUGUAUGUACUUCUGCAGGAAUUAGUAAGGUGCGUAUUGUAGAAGCAUAAGGUGUGACAGCCUUUUCUGAUGAACCUGGGCUAUAUAAAGUGCCCUUGUCUAAACUGGCAAUGGCAAACAUUAACACUAGACUUUCAGGCCUGAUACUUCGGAGUACUAAUUGUUACUCAGUGAAUGGCAAUGAAGGUUAAAUAAUGCAAGGUCACUGCUGUGUUCUUUCUGUUUUGGGAAAGCUGAUUUUAAAAGGUCAUUCUGUCCUGCCUUGUGCGACAGGAUGGAGGACUUACAUUUCGUAAUGAUUGUGGCACCUAACUCAGGCAGAAAUACCAGGAACUGAAAAUGUUUAAGUGUAACUUUGAACUCGCAUUCUGGUGAUGGGCUUAAACAAAUUAAAUUAAACAAAUACUAGUUGAAAA